GGAAAAAGCUAUGACGCUCUCUCUCUUUCCCAAUAAGGUGUUCAGCCUACCCCUAAGAAUGAAGCUUUUCAGGAAAGAAAGGAAUGCUGGCAUGAUGCAAAAAUAAAAUAGCUCACACACCAACCACGCAAGUGUUGUUUCAGUAUUAACAUAUUUCAGAUCUCACCAUAACUUCUUCCCAGCUCAUGUGUGUCUUUUAAUGCAAUAUCGCCAAAAUUCAUUGAACCAAUUGGAUAAUUCUAUUACUGUAGUACCAGUCUGCACUCCCCAUUGCUAAAUUCGCAUAGUAGAAACCUUUGGCACGUUGUGUUUUGUCAUCAAUCCAAGAAAAAAGGCCCCGAUGUCUAAGAUUCUGUACUGUCAUUUAAAUUAUAUACUUCGUGAAGUUUAGCUGAUCAGGAUUA